rfam:TPA: Bos taurus chromosome 6, whole genome shotgun sequence.
UCCCUGGUGGUCCAAUGGUUAAGACUCCGAGCUCCCAAUGCAGGGGGCCUGGGUUCGAUCCCUGGUCAGGGAA